GCUCGACAGUGAAUGCUUUCCAAUGAGAAACUGUAGCAGGAUUUUUUUUUUGUCCCCAUCCUUUGGUCCCUAUUGUAUGUUCAGCUGCACUGUAGCUUGCUGCUAAUCAAAGCCAGGGACUCUCAUACACAAACAAACACAGCAUUGUGGCCUCCCCCGGGGCUGGAAUACAGCAGUCUAACAAUUGAGUCAGGUGAUGGCAGGCCUAAGGAUCAGACAGUAGCUCCUAGACAUGCUCCUGCCUUCAGUCCCAGAGGAGCCCUCUGCUCAGCACAAUCAUGUUGAAACCACCAGGCCAGUGUAUAAUUUGAAUGACUCUCAGUUACAUGUGACCCUCCUUUCUGGGUCUUCUUCAUUUCAGUAAAUGGGUCCCUGAUAAAUCAUUCUGAUCCUUCCUCCGGUUCCACCCUGAGAGAACUUUGCUGCUGGUCUUUAUAAGCUUCUCUAAGACAUAUAUGCUUCUCUAAGUUUCCAGCAUCAAGGAUUUGGGGCUUGCUUCAGAUCUGAAAGAUUCUCCAGCACAACUACCAUGUUAUGAUGCAGACUAGAUACAAAUAUUCUAAUAUUCUCAACAAAGUGGGAUUUUGUUUAAAUGCUACCAAGAGGCAAUAUAAGCCAUCCCACAUCAAGUUUCAAGACCAACAAUCCACUCCUGUUUGAGAAGAACUGUCUCUAACUCCUCAGGUGACACUCUUUGAUUUAAAACAAAACCAAAACUAAAACAAAACAAAAAACAAAAACAAAACAACCCUCACACCUUCUGUCAAGGACCUCUCUCCAGAUGCUUGGUGCUCAAGGUCCAGUGGAUGGCAAUCAAGAGAAUGGUUAUGUCUUGGUAUAGAUUUGAAUAUCAAAUGAGGAAGGAGGCAGUUUAGAUGAAAAGGUAAGAGAGCCAUGCUUGCUUUUUAUAAUUAUAUGUGAAGUUUUGAUUAAAAAAAAAACCCAAGCAUAAAAAGGAAGUAGUUAAUAUUUUGUACUACACUUGGCACAUACAAGUCAAGGCAUAAAACAAAGUCGGGAAGAUGACAGACCAAUGUACUGCACAGCCGGGAGCUGAAGGGCACUCUGCUGUGUCCCCUUCAUAGGAAGGAGACCCCACACUUUUCUCAAUUAUCCUUUACUGAGUGCCAGGUUACAUAGGUGGAUUAAAAGGAUGCAAAGAGGAACAGCUUCAAGGACCUUGGAUAUUAGGCUCUGGGUCCUGCUGGAUGUUCUGGUUGAGACAAGAAUCUUCAAGGACGUAAAUGACACAACUUUGUCUUCAAAGACUCCCUCGGGGAAUAUCAAGGAAUGGACAGGGCUGCUCCCCAGUGUGAGUCUAGCUUUGUGGAACUAUAAUGGCAAGAGGUAUCUGGAGCCAGGGCAUUGAAAAAGUGAAAUUUCCAGAAAAAUUUUCCCAACAAACACCUCCCAAAGGAUGAAGUGGCAUGCUCCAGACCAUUGGUCUGAAGAGGAAGAACCUUCAGCAUUGUUUAAAUGAAAUUUUUCUGAGGUCUAAAGUUUCUAUGGAGACAGGCUUAAAGCUGGGCUCUGUCCCAUUUUUGUAUAUUUCCCUAAGACCUCUGCUCAAAUUCACUUUUCUUUCAUUCUUUUUUCGCUUUCUUUUGUGAAGCAGCUGAAGUCAAUGGCUCCUGUUUAACCUCUUGCAAGAGAACUCACUGGAUGAAUCAUUAGAAGCCCACAGAGCCAGACCGCACUUGGGAAAUGUCUGUUUCAAAAGAAAUCGGUAGAAAUCCACAUCUAUCCAUUUAUUCUGCUGGACUGUUUUUUAUCUACAUCUCCAAACCAAAUUCAUUCAUGACAGCCUUGAAGUACAUCUCCAAAUCCCCAGAUAUCACGUAUCAGAAGUCUUCUCACGAUCAGAACAGUCUACUUAAAAAGGGUGAAAAAUACUUGGGGCUAAAGUUGGUGGGAAUCCUGAUACUGGCAUAGACAAGAAAGGCAUUUGACUUUCUCCCCUCCUCUGUGAUCAACAAUGUGGUUGUCAAACCCCAAUUUGAUCCAAGUCACUUUCAACUAGAGCCAAUUGGACAUUAGUCACUCCAAAUAAUAACAGAGCAAAUAAAUAACUCCCCUCAAGGCUGCCAAGCCCUGGAGCAACAGGCAUCAAAGAGGUCUGCUGGCCUUGGAGCGCACCCACCUGCAGUGAGCUAGACCCACCCUGGAACCCUGGAACAGCUCAGAAGUUUCCCAGGCCCCAGGGACCAGUUGAGGAAUUAGAUGAGUCCUGGGAGGGACCACACAGCUGUGUGUUCCCCAGGGACACUCUUUCUCUUGACUACAUGGAAAGGGUCCUUUGGGUAAAAACGGAACACACUGUUUGUGCAGCUUGUCCUUGACCAGGUACAUGCAAAUUCUGCAAGAUAACUUAUUCCCAUCUAAACAAGUUAUUCUUUGCUGAGACAGAGACUCUUCUUGUUUACUGCAUAGGAUAUUGGCUUGCAUUUUUCUAUUUUCAUCAUUUUAAUAAGAAUCCGUAACUUACUAAGCAUUUUUGUGAUACCAAAUUACCCAUAUCAGGCUAAAUAAAUUAAAUUUCCAUCGUAAUUAGCUCAUUUGGUGAAAACAAAUGUACAUGCUAAUGUGUGUAUACCUAUUAAAAUAUUGCACGGAACAAUUAUAGUGUUAUAGGAAUGAAGGGCACACAAUUAUGCAUAUAACACAAUUAUGCAUAUAACUAGAGUAAGUCAUACUAGGAAAACUGUAAAAGCUUAUGAGUGAUAAUAUACAAUGUGUAUGCAAAGAAUAUAAGUUUCUCUCAUAAAAGUUCAUUAACCUGCACCAUGAAUAUGUUUUUCUAGAACAGGAAAAACAUAUUUUUCAAGUAUAUCUGUUUUCCUGAUAAGAAAUAUAGUAAAAAAAAUAUUUCAGAUGAUUUAAGUUAAUCAACUUACAAGUUUGACCUACAUUGAGCUCUACGCGCUACUCACAUAUUCUCAGGCAGUGUUCAAUAAUUAAACAUCUAGGGUAAACAAAGAGGAUGGGAAGGAAGACUGUGAUAGCCUCACAAGAUUUAGCCAUGCAUUUUGGUUUAAAAUUAACGAAUUACUUACCCUGUUUCCUGCAAAGCCAUAAGGCUCCCUCAUUUGAAGCACUUCUAAAGAAAGAAAUAGGAUGCCCAUAGGAAGCAAGUUUGGGUUGUUUGUUUUAUGGUAGGCUUCUGUUUCGUUUUCUCUUUUCUUCCUUCCUUCCUUCCUUCCUUCCUUCCUUCCUUCCUUCCUUCCUUCCUUCCUUCCUUCCUUUCUUUCUUUCUUUCUUUCUCUCUCUCUCUCCCUCCCUCCCUCCCUCCCUUCCUUCCCUCCUUCCUUUCCUUCUUUUUAAAGAACAUUAAUAUUUAAAUCAGAUUCUCCAGAGCUUUAGGAUGUUUUUAUUUUUUUAAGCUAAAGAUUCUAAUCAUGGCUUAUAGGGCAUAUUUGGUCAACUAUGUUCACAUCUACAGACACUAUAUGUUAAACCCAAAGUAUGUUCUUGCCAUCAAAAGCAAAAUCCUGUGAUGAGAAUUCAGCAAAGUCCAAAUUCUCAGCAUAUGAGGCAGGCUAUUUUAAAAACAUUGUUCUAAAUCUUUGCAUAAUUUCCAUUUGUUUUAUCUGAAAAGAUUUUAUCUGUUUCCUGGGAUUAUCACCAAAUUAUAUUCACUAUUGAUUUAAAUCUGGAUUGCCUUUUUCUGGACAUCCUAAAGUUUUUUAGGAUGCCACACAGAAAGACAAUCUCUGCCUUUCUUUUAUUCUCUGCCUUUAUUUUAUACACAGAAGAGAGAAGGAGAAUGGUGUAGUAGAUGUCAUAAUACAGAUAAGAAUAACACUAAGAAAAUCUGCUAUUAUAUAUACUUUCAAUACCAAGGGCAAAAUCUACCAAGCAUCUUUAGUAAAUUUUAAAGGAAAAUUUAGGAGACAACAUUUGGGAUCCCUUUCUUUCUCAAGUGAAUCCUUGUGCAUGAAGCCAGGCUACUUGGACUAUAACAGGCCAAGUCAAUAGUAGAUAUGUAGGUGUUUGAGAUGCAAUCAAAUGCUAGAAAUAUUUGGAGAUGGAAAUAGAGGUCUGAGUACAUUUUGCAUGUGGCAAGAAGGUUUCUACCAAGGAUCCUCAUGAUUUGUAUUAAGCUAUUGUCAUGUGUAGAAAAUUAUGACAAAAGAAGAGCUUAUCACACAAGUCUAGAUGUCUUGGUACUCAAAGUGACUUCUCCAGCCCUAAACACUGCCAUCACCCUGGAAUCUUUGGACAUGUAUGUACAGUCCAUAGGGAGACCUGGGGGAUCCAGACCUUCAUUCGGUGGAAAUUCCUGGGCAACUGGUCUAAACCUGAAAGCCACAGUGGUACAUGUGUGGUGCCAAGAACUCCAAAGUCCUAAAUGUGGUAACAAUUACCAAUUGAAUACUGCAGUGAGCAUCCUUUAAGAAUCUCAAAGGCUAAACUAGAACACCGGUAUUUAAUAAAAGAAGCCAUGCCGGUUUCAGUUUUGCCUUUUUUAGGAUUGUCUUCUCACUUUUAUAAAAAACUGUGAUUCAGAUUUCCUUUCCUUGUUUCCUGCCACACAUCCUUCCUCCUCCUCACUUCACUGGGUCAAACGUACCUCCUGGUAUCUUUAGCAAUCUCUAGGUAUUCCGUGACAGUGACAAAGAUAGCAGCAGACAUGGGAAAUGAGAAAAAAGAGGAUCUGCUUAGGUGGGAUUCAAUAAUAUGAGCCUGUGUUUAGCAGGAUGGCUUACGGUUUGUGAGCGUUGCACCCACUGAGGAAGUGCGUCAACACUUUCCCAAACCUGAGCUUAAAAAACACAAAUCCCCAAUUUAAAAAAAAAGCCUGGUAAUACUGUCAUUAUCACAUACUGACCUGCUUGCUGGUCUCUGACUGCACUCCUCUAGUCUCUCAUCUGUAUUGGAGCCUCCAUGAGAAGGUUCCCAGGGUUGGGUUAGUUAUGCGUAUAGCUAAUGCCAGCCAUGGGGCAUCUACUAUUGAUUGGGAGUUUCCUAUGUGAAAAAUGCUCUCCAAAGCUUAUGGGAAAAAACAAGACCUUUGGAGAGCUCGCCUGCCAAAUAUCCCAGGCCUUGGGCACACUCAAUUUUGAACUGUAGUUAGUGAGGAAAGACAGAAUGAUCAAGGAAAAUAAAAGGGGGCAUUCCUUGAAGAGGCGACACAUGUUGUGUAGGGAGUGUUGGAGAGCAGAGCGUGAAAGAUGAGAAGACAGAAGGAGUCAGUAGAAGGAGGCACCUGUAUCUCAUGCUGUCCAUUUCCUGACUUCCUGUCAUAUACUCUGGGCUUGUGAGUCCUCCUGUUAAGACAAACUCUGAAGAUAUGCCCCAUUGAGUUAAUCCAACGAACAUUGAAGAGUAGGUCUGUUUUAGGUUAUUUGCCAUCUCAUUAUAUAUAUUUUGGAUUUUUGCUUUGAUUUGAGAGCCUAAUGGGAGAAAUAUUCAAUUAAUUGUACAAAAGUGGAAUUGGUAAUAUUUGAUACAGAAAAAUAAAACAUUCAAACUCGGGAGUUGAAGAUAUUUGUUCUGUUGCAGAUACACUCUUGAAAGGUGCCACAUUGCUUUCUUUAAGCAUUCCCUGUUCAGCAUACAACAAUAAAUUGUUACAGAUAUACAGUGUAGAAAUAAUUUUUUUGAAAUUUCUAGACUACAGUUGUGAAGGAAAUAAUAUGUUGAGUUGGUUAUAGAAGAGCAUGAAUUCUCUCUUUACUCUCGAAGUUAUCAAGUCAGAAACCAUGUUGAUGUAAAGGAUGAAGGGAGGUGGGGUAUAGAAGACUAAACCCUGCAGACCAACAGGAUCCCUCAAAUGAAAGCAGGAAAGUGAUACUUGGAGACAUUUGCUCUGGAAGCCUGAGGAGAUCGGUAAUAAUACAUGAUGUUUAUUGGAAGGUAGGAGGAAUGGGUAAAGGACAUUGUGGGAUUGGAUCAUGAUUAGCAAAGAAAAUGGAUAGUCUUCAGGGUUGUCUAUCUUUUAUUUGCUUCUCAGCCUUCUGUGAAGCAUCUCUGAUGGGCUUUUGCCCAUCAGAUAAUGUAAGGUUCUAGAGUGGAGGAAGACCAGCCUUUCCUUUAAGAGGGUCUAGUGCUGUGGCUGAGUGGAGCUACUACAGAUUGGGAAUCAUUAGCUGAAUCCACUCUGAUGGGAAAGGAGCUAUUCUUUGACAAGGGUGAUGGAGACACAGAAAGAAAGGGAAGGAGAAUUGAGCAUCACAUGGAGGGAAGUUUGGCUUGGACCAGUUUUUGUGGCUUUAAUUAGUGGCAGCUAGAGUAAGAUUGCUUUCUUUUCCUCCACAUAUACAUUUCAUUAGAGUGCCAUCAUCAUAGAGUGUUUGAAUAAAUCUUUCUGAGGACACCCAAUGUGAGGCAUCAUGUUUUAAAAUUAUAUUUAUUCUAAAUAAACUUAGACUGAAAUUCGUAAGCUAUCAGAUACAUUUUUAUUCCUGGUCCAGUAUGCAGCAAAUGUGAAAUGAAAACAUGAGGAAAUGGAGAGUUUAAUUUAUCCUCCAUCCUAAAUCACAGAUGCUUUUGAAAUACGUGUUUAAUGUGAUAAACCCCACCAUGGGCUCUGUUUUUUAUUUCUCACUGGAACCACUUAGGAUAAAAGUCAUAACUGCUAUAUCGCCUGCUGGGGCUAACUGCCUCAUGUAUAUAUCAAAUAGGUAAUAAACUUCAUGAAGUUGCAUUCAUUUGUCUUUGUAACCACAGCAUAUUAUAUGAUGACAGUGGGGUACUUAGAAGCUGUAAAAGUCUGUUAGAAAUAAAGCUAUACCAAGUCUAUAUCAAAAUAGAAUUGGUCCACAAUGACUCCCUUCAGUUCUUAGUCAUAGAUGAAAGGAAGAAAGAAAAGAAGAAAUGGAUGGAGGGAAUGAGGGAGGAAGGGAGAGAGGGAAGAAGGGAAAGAGAGAGGGAGAAAAGGAGGAAGAAAGAGUUUAAAAAGAAUCUAAAUUUAUAUACACCUAUAAUCCCAAUACAAAAGGAAGAUAGGAAGACUGUGUGAGGGUCAGACCAGCCUGGGUUACACAGGGAACUCUUGUCUUAGAACAAGACAAAAUCAAAACCACAACCACAAAAAUGGCAGUCUAGGACUCCACUUAGAGGAAAAAAAAGAGACUGUAGGUUUUUUUUUCCCAUGGAGUCAAUCACAAAGGGCUAUGGCAGUGUUGGGACUUUAGAAUCUGGAAUAAAGGGGGAGAAGAGAGAGAAGAGAAAUGUUUAAAGUGAAUGCUCAUGUUUGGAAGCUUUGGGGAGAAAUGAAUAGGUGAUAAGGAGAGUGUGCAUAGAGGUUGGGGGGAAAGGUCAGACGCUGAUGCAUCACAGGGAUCAUAAGAGAUGAUGGUCAUGAGGAGGCAGGGUUAGCAGAUAAUGCUGUUAUAUGGUAAUCAAAGAAGAAGGGCAAAUGACUGCCAGAUGGUCACCUAUGGCUCUUAAAGGGUGUUUUUCCCCAGACACAGGUGGGAGUGCACUGUUCUUUAGCUUCCUAGAAUUCGUUUUAGAUGAAUUUCUAGUAAGGAAUCCCACAAGUUAACAUAGCUUUCCAAACAAGUGUGUGAACAAAGGGGUAGAGGCAUGUCUAUUUGUGAUUUGGUAUUUACUAAGAGAACUUCUCAAGACCAGAACCAGUCAGUUACCAGGACUCACGUUGUUCAAGAUUAAUACCAAGCAGCCAAUUUUUGUUGUUGUUAUUAUUAUAUUCGUGGACUUAAGAGUCUAAGAAUUCUACUCUUAGGAAUUCUAUAUUUUCUUUUUCUAUUUGAGAUGGGACUUUAUCUAAAUUCAGUAUAGUAAAAUUACUAAAUGCAAACAUCACUAGGAAAAAAUAAACUUUAUUGAUCAAAAUGUCUCAGGUAUGAACUAUUGAUUAUGUUAUCCCUGCCUAUCCUUAAGCCACAGGGAAUUAUGGUAAAGGUGAGCUGCCUGAUCAAAUUUUCAAGUGUUACCAUAGUUGCAAGCCCUCAAUGGUAUUUGUUCUCAGCUACCCUUUUAAACAUAGAUACCUUACAUUAUCAUAAAAGGCGUCUUAUAGUUAUUGAUCUAGAAAGAUUGUAAUAGCAACAUGCAAACUGCUAUCUACAAGUCUGGCUUAUAGUGCCAAGUAAAAUAUCACAACAAAUGGUAUCUUGGACAGGUCAUAAACACCAAGAAUGGAAAGACUUCCCAAAGAAAGGCCAAGAUCCAAAUUCUCCUCAAGCCAAUUGAUGGAUAGAAAAAGCAGGACCAGUUCCCAAAGAAGUCCAUAUCCACAUGUUCCUUUCCCAUCACUCCCAGGGAGAAGGUGUGGCUUGUACCACAGGACACUAAAGCACUUCCAUUUGUUCAUGAAACUGGCAUCCAGAGGAGAAAACACUUCCCACCCAGCUCAGCUUUCCUUUCAAAGCAUGGGUCAGCAACAGUAUAUGGCUCUGCCCUGUUGGACAAUCCAGUAUAAACUAGCCUUCUGAGUAAGUAAGGAGCACUCACUCAGUGUGGAGCUCCCUUGCUGUUCCACUGUCCCGAGUAGUCUCAGUUGGGCCUUAUCAUCAGUACAAGAGUCAAGGACGUUUGACUCGUCACCAUGCUGGCAUAUUUAGAACACAAGUGUCUGGGGAACUGCCAUUUGUAACCUUACUUCUGACUGUAGCCUGUUGCUAGCAUCACAGCAUUUCAUAUAGCUCAGGCAAGCUCAGAGUGUUCCAGGGAAUCACACGGAGGAAUGACAGCAUGGACGCCACGUGGGGUUGCUACUGAAAUGAGAAAUCAGAAAUAUCUCUAGGAGAAAAUAAAAACUUAAAACUUAAAAUGUUUGAUAAAAACAAACUAUUUGGGGGCCUUGUAUUAUUUUCAGUGACCAGGUUUUUAUGAAAUUGCAAACCAGAUCAUUGAAUUGCAAGAAAAAAAAUUACCCAAUUAAAAAAAAAAAAAAGUCCGAUCUUGCUUCAGACUGCUGUUUGUAAAGACUAAAUAAGAAACAUGAAAACCAACUGGAGGUGGUGACACAGACCUUUAUUCCUGGCACAGGAGACGCAGAGGCAGGCAGAUCUCUGUGAGUUGGAGACCAGCCUGGUCUACAUCGUGAGUUCCAGUACAGCCAAGACUACAUAGAGAAACUCUGUCUUGAACAAUAAUAAUAAAAUAAAAAAAGAAAGAAAGAAAGAAAGAGAGAGAGAGAGAGAGAGAGAGAGAAAGGAAGGAAGGAAGGAAGGAAGGAAGGAAGGAAGGAAGGAAGGAAGGAAGGAAAAGGAAGGAAGGAAACAAUGAAAGAUACAAAGAAAGAAAAAAAACCAUAAAACUUUCACUAAACAGGUAAGAUCAGGUCCCCAGUGUCCUAGAAAGGGGUUCUGAAAUACAGACAAUUAAAUAUUAUAUAAUACAUAUAAUACAAUAUGCAGUCAAAUAUAUUCUAUUCUCAUCCCCUAUGGGAUAUAAUUUAGGGAUCAGAUGACUAAAACAUCAUGUUAACAGUAGGUCUGUCUCGCCCACAGCUCUACCCCUGAGAAUAUAAGUGUUUGUGCCUCAGACAAACACUUGAAUCCACACUCUAAAGGGGCUACAGUUUACACACAGCUGGUGUGGGGUGUGGGAAAAGCAUUGCACAUACAAGCAGUCCACUCAGUGAGGAAGACCUGGGUCUAUGAGCAGCAGGAGAAAGAUUACCUUCUUCAAAAGACUUUAAUUCUGAUGAGAGAAUUUUUAAAAGUUCCUUACAGUUCAAAAGCAUGGUAUUGGGGUUUUAAAAUAAAAUGAUUUCAUUUUGAUAAGAAACAACCACUAUUGGUGGUCUGAAAUUACACAGGGCCCAAAGAGGAGUGGGAGGGCACCUGAGUUUCCCUUGAAUUUAACUGGACUAUAAGUGUUUCUAAUGACUUGGCCUUGAAGGCACAUAAUUUACUUUAAAAGGGACAUAAUGAGUCUGGCAAACACCAGCCUUCUGUGCUGUGUUGGCUGACUUCUCUUUUGUUUCGCUCUCAUUACCUUUUAAUAUUCUCACAGAACAAUUCAUUCCCAGAUGAUCAAAGGGCCCAAAUGGGCUGGACCGUUUCAUCAGCUCCACGUUUGCCUGGGAUCGUGAAAUUGCUCCAUUAUGUUGUUAGUUCAAAAGCUUUUCUUUGGUAGUUCCUGAAGUGCCUCCCAGGCCCUUCCUUCCAACACACACACACCACA